rnacentral:lncRNA from 1 species
CCCUCGCGCGCAGGCUCUUGGGAGAGCGUCACCCGGGCUAUAAAAGCGUGCGCGCACCGUUCAGAAGUCUCUUUGGCUGCGACCCGGCUACGAGUAUGUAGUUGUAUGGUGGGGAUGAUAUCUUGGGCCUUAUUUGUGAGUGGCCGAGAUGCGGGAGACACAAGGCGGCUAUGGUGCUGGCCGAAAGCCAUCAACUCUGCAAGAGCACCGUGAAGGUUAGCGCGACGACCACCAUGUAAAGCCGAUACGGUGUUGCCGAUACGGUGUUGCCGAUACGGUGUUGGGCGGCGUGACGCAAGUUCGCCACCGCUGGGUCAGAUGGAAACGCCGGAACCCGUUGCUGUUGAACAGUGGAGGAAGUGUUAAGGUACUGUAGUGGUUGAGAUCGUCUCUGGUCAACUUACAGGGAAUCUUCGCUUUUAAUUUUUGAAAAUUGAAUAUUUUAUAUAAAAUAAAAGAUGUUUGGUGUGUAAUAA